AAGACUCAGGGGUCGGUCCCUAGAGUGAGAAAGGAAGGGAAGGGAAAGGGGGGAGGGAGAAAGAAGCAAACCUGUUGUAAUCAAGUCAUCUGUGAACAUCUUGGCAUGGAAUAAUGUCAAGCAUGUCCUCAAAUUAUCCACUUCAUUUGUUACACAUUUUCAAAUGCCCGCCUUUAGUUCACCCACAAUGAAGUUUCCUAAGUAUUGUAGUUAAAGUACCUCACACUGGAUGACUGGAAACUCAGCCCCUCGCCCAUCGAGUGACUCACGUCUCUGUUGAUGGUGCCGGUGUAGCUGCCCAUCCCAAAUUGGGUGCAGAGCCCACAGGCUGCAUCGGACUCCGCGAGGCCACGCGACACAAUAACGAGUCGGCAGACCAUGAAGGCUACUUCCUCAACAAGUUGAGAGUGUGACCUACAGCACAAUUUCUGAUACUUGACAAUUCAGUAUUCAAGGGCCAUAAGAAGUUAUGGCAGGAGUCAUCAGUCUAACAUCGCCCAGUAAAAAGGUCUACUAAACAGCAGGUAUCCAAUAAAUUAUUAACUACUAAUGAGAAAAA
rnacentral:lncRNA from 1 species